AGUGAACGCUGGCGGUAGGCCUAACACAUGCAAGUCGAACGGCAGCACAGGAGAGCUUGCUCUCUGGGUGGCGAGUGGCGGACGGGUGAGGAAUACAUCGGAAUCUACUUUUUCGUGGGGGAUAACGUAGGGAAACUUACGCUACUACCGCAUACGACCUACGGGUGAAAGCAGGGGACCUUCGGUCCUUGCGCGAUUGAAUGAGCCGAUGUCGAAUUACCUAGAUGGCGGGGUAAAGGCCCACCAAGGCGACGAGCGGUAGCUGGUCUGAGAGGACGAUCAGCCACACUGGAACUGAGACACGGUCCAGACUCCUACGGGAGGCAGCAGUGGGGAAUAUUGGACAAUGGGCGCAAGCCUGAUCCAGCCAUACCGCGUGGGUGAAGAAGGCCUUCGGGUUGGAAAGCCCUUUUGUUGGGAAAGAAAUCCAGCUGGCUAAUACCCGGUUGGGAUGACGGUACCCAAAGAAUAAGCACCGGCUAACUUCGUGCCAGCAGCCGCCGUAA
rnacentral:rRNA from 1 species